rnacentral:rRNA from 1 species
UUUAUAUGAGAGUUUGAUCCUGGCUCAGGAUGAACGCUGGCGGCGUGCCUAAUACAUGCAAGUCGAACGAGUUCUUGUUGAUGAUCGGUGCUUGCACCAAGAUUCAACAUGGAACGAGUGGCGGACGGGUGAGUAACACGUGGGUAACCUGCCCUUAAGUGGGGGAUAACAUUUGGAAACAGAUGCUAAUACCGCAUAGAUCCAAGAACCGCAUGGUUCUUGGCUGAAAGAUGGCGUAAGCUAUCGCUUUUGGAUGGACCCGCGGCGUAUUAGCUAGUUGGUGAG